rnacentral:rRNA from 1 species
CCUUCGAUGUCGACUUGGAGGUUGUGCCCUUGAGGCGUGGCUUCCGGAGCUAACGCGUUAAGUCGACCGCCUGGGGAGUACGGCCGCAAGGUUAAAACUCAAAUGAAUUGACGGGGGCCCGCACAAGCGGUGGAGCAUGUGGUUUAAUUCGAUGCAACGCGAAGAACCUUACCUGGUCUUGACAUCCACGGAAGUUUUCAGAGAUGARAAUGUGCCUUCGGGAACCGUGAGACAGGUGCUGCAUGGCUGUCGUAGCUCGUGCUGGA